GAUGAACGCUGGCGGCGUGCCUAACACAUGCAAGUCGAGCGAUUCUCUUCGGAGAAGAGCGGCGGACGGGUGAGUAACGCGUGGGUAACCUGCCCUGUACACACGGAUAACAUACCGAAAGGUAUGCUAAUACGAGAUAAUAUACUUUUAUCGCAUGGUAGAAGUAUCAAAGCUUUUGCGGUACAGGAUGGGCCCGCGUCUGAUUAGCUAGUUGGUAAGGUAACGGCUUACCAAGGCGACGAUCAGUAGCCGACCUGAGAGGGUGAUCGGCCACAUUGGAACUGAGACACGGUCCAAACUCCUACGGGAGGCAGCAGUGGGGAAUAUUGCACAAUGGGCGAAAGCCUGAUGCAGCAACGCCGCGUGAGCGAUGAAGGCCUUCGGGUCGUAAAGCUCUGUCCUCAAGGAAGAUAAUGACGGUAC
rnacentral:rRNA from 1 species